rnacentral:RNase_P_RNA from 1 species
CUGAUAAUCGCUAUGCUGAAUUUUUCAGUGUAGAGGAAAGUCCAUGCUCACACGUUUCUGAGAUGAGCGUAGUGUUCGUGCUUGACGAAACAAUAAGUCAAGGCAGUUCGUUUGAUACGACUGACGGCUGCGAAAUAACCUAAGUGUGUAAACAUAUGGUUAGAUUAGCUAUAAAAGUGCCACAGUGACGGAGCUUUUAUAGAAAUAUAAAAGGUGGAACGCGGUAAACCCCUCGAGUGAGCAAUCCAAAUUAGGUAGGAGCACUUUCUAAAAGGAAUUCAACGGAUAGAAAGAUAUUACUUUGUAAUAUAGACAGAUGAUUAUCACCAAUGUGCGAGUGUGACUAGUACACGUUUGCAGCACAGCGGUACAGAACAUGGCUUAUAG